UACAGAGGUCCCAAGCGUUGUUCGGAUUCACUGGGCGUAAAGGGUGCGUAGGUGGUGAGGUAAGUCGGAUGUGAAAUCUCCGAGCUCAACUCGGAAAUUGCAUUGGAAACUACCUUGCUAGAGGGUUGGAGGGGGACUGGAAUACUUGGUGUAGCAGUGAAAUGCGUAGAUAUCAAGUGGAACACCAGUGGCGAAGGCGAGUCCCUGGACAACUCCUGACACUGAGGCACGAAAGCUAGGGGAGCAAACAGG
rnacentral:rRNA from 1 species